CACACACACACACACAUAGAGUUGGUGAGGUUUUUUAUCCUGACUUUGAGCCUUUCCAGAACAGAUCUAUCAACUUGGCAAUUUAUUAACAUGACUUUUUGCAGGUUAACAUAAGUUAUAUAUCCUAUCUCUUGAGUAGGACCUGUCAGUAAUAAGAAACAAGUAUACAGGUGCAUGGAAACAUACUUCUAGAUUGGGGUUGGAUCCAGAAGUUAAUUCUGCUAGUGCUGACGAUUGCUAUGAUUGUCAAUAGUAAUUCUGUAAUAGACUAAAUAUGAUACAUCAUUUCUGUGCAUUUGGGAAUGCUGAAAUGGUAAUUGUUUCAAGAUUUGUUUUUGUGACUAAAGGCAAAAGGACUUCUAGGCUUCAUAUUGCCAAUAUUAUAGAAGCCAUGUGGGAUUUUGAGUAAAAGGACCUAGAUUCAAAUCCUGAUUGCUUCUCACUACCAAUAUGGCCUUAGUCAAGCCCUUUGGGUUUUAUAGAUUUCAGUUUCUCAUAUGUAAGAUGAUGAGGAUGUCAGGUAGGUGUUUGGCCCUCCCUCUAAGAUUCUUAAUUUUUAUGCUUAUGAUUCUAUGAAGUUAUGAAGAUCAAAUGGCUUCUACAUGUUAAGUAUAUUGGAUGGAUGGUCAGUGCAAAACCCAGUAUAAAAACUGGUGUCACAGGCAAGUUGUGAGUAUCUAAAAUCCCACUUUCUAUAGCAAUUUCUUAGCCCAUCAGUGAAGUUUGUUUGGUAUGGAGUCUAACUCUUCUUUGCCUCUCGUAUCAUAUCUUUUGAUUGGAUGUGACCACAAUUCUAGUCAACACCUGUAAAUGAUGAGUUUUGCUCUGUCUUUCACUAUAUGCCCAUAUUGGCUAAAGAAAGAUACAGAAUGGAUCCCUUUAUUAUUUUUUCAUGAGUUGGCCAGUUCCCUGUGUGUUUUAUCUGUGGAACUGUACUCACAGAAAGUCGAUCUUUUCUGUACAUAUGUCAGGGUUUUGACUGUAUAAGAAAUAGUUAAAUCACUCAGGAAACAACCUAUGAUGACAGGUUGAUGCUGGAUUUGAUUGAUUAAUGUAUAUGACUAUUGAAGUAUUUCCUUCCCUUGUGGUUAGGCUAUAGAGAUAAAAGAGAGUCCUAUGUAAUGUACAAGGCAUAUGUACAGGUUAAUUGUACAUUGGGCAAGUUAAUUCUUUUGGACUUCAGUUUCCUCAUUUGUAAAAUGAAGAAAAUGAACUAUAACAGUCUCCAUUUUCCUUCUCUAAAAUUUUUUGAUCUGUUCUUAAAUCAGCCUAAUCUCAAGAAUUUUGUAAUUUCUCCACAAGGGGAUAAAAUUUUGGGCAGAAUAAGAUGUGUUUAUCUCACUGUUGAAUGAGCAUGCUUGUGAGACUUGAUGGUAGUAAUGAUUUAAGUGCUAUGAAGUGAAAAGAGAACUAGAUUUGGUGUAAGAAGAUCUGAGUUUGAAUCCUAGCUCUGCUAUUUACUAAAAGGUGACCUUGAGGAAAUGAAGCCAAUUUUCUUGACUUCAGUUCCCUUCAUCUGUAAAACAAAGAGGCUGGAUUAGAUUACCUCUAAAUUCCACCCCAGUUUUGAAACCAGUGAUGAAGACAAUGUUAUUUUACUUAGGGAAUCUUCUUCAUGAAAAAAUGACUCCCAUCUGCCUGUAUUUCAAACACUCUUAUACAGGUGCUUAAGAUGAAGAGGAACUUUAGUGGGUAAAGCAUAUGAGUGGUCAAAACAAUAAUGGAAUAUCUGCUGUGAGUAUUAAUAUUUCAAAGGCUGUUCAAAGGAUUAUUUGUCUUAACCAAAUUCAUAUAUUGGGUCAUAUGAUAAGAUCAUUUAACUAUCUAGAAAAGUCCAUUUAUGCAAUUAGCUAGCUUCCCUUUGGAAACCAAUAUAAACAAAGACUUAACCCUUAGAGUAUGUGUGUGUGUCAAUUUAGCCUCUGUUUCAAGGUCUCCAGAAUAUAAAUUAUAAUACUGCAAUGUUUAAACCAAUCUCUCUUGUUAUCUAGAGUAUCCAAGCCGACUAUAGGGAAACAAGAACUCUGAAGGGGAAUUUGGAGAUGGGGAUGAUCUUUGGACUGGGAAUUAUAGAACAAGAAUGGUUAAUCGGGAGUAGAAACUGAAGACUAGUGAGAAAAUAGCUACAUAUCAUUUGUUGGUUCUCAAUAAAUUUAAGUCAUCAGGACCAGGAAGCACCAAAGUAUCAGAUUUGCAAGCAAUGACAGUGGUUGCCUUUUUUCCCCCUUCUGACACUCCAUUUUAUUUUGAAUGUACUGUUUAUUUUCAAUAAAAAAUGUAUCUUUCUUUUUGAUAUCACCUCUAUUUCCCUGUUUCUCUUCUUUCCCUUGGUCCAGAAUUUUUUGAUAACAAAGAAUUUGACAUUUUUUGCUUGCUUUUGGCCCUCUGUCAGGUCUCACCUUAAGUCUUUCUCUUUUUUUGUUUCCCUUUACAGGAGUAUCACUGUAUCAUUGAUAUUUGAGUAGAUUGUCUAAAGAAUGGAAGAAAUUUUGGAUAAUCUAAGAUGUUAUGACUUAGAUGUGGAUGACUUCCAUCUAGCCUUGUAAUAGUUCAAAGGAAAACAUUCCUCUUCAUAUUUCAGAAGGAAGAUCUGCUGACAUACUGAAUAUUCUAUGAAACAAUUUACCUGGGUGGAUGUCACCAAUAUAAUCACAAAAUUAUAGAUUUGGGGUUGGGAGAGACUCUGGAGGCCAUCUGGUAGUUGGCCUUUGGGGUCCAUUUGAAAAAGAAGAAAAUGGGAUCUAGAGAAGUUACUUUUCUAGGAGGUAAGAGGCAGACUGAGAUUUGAACCUGGAGUCUCAAAUCUGUAUCUUAACACUUUAAAAAGUGGCCUUGGAGAAAGAGGACAAGGAUCUAGUAAAUUCUCACAUCUUUUUGACUACAUAGAUAUGUGACACACUGUACUUAUCUCUUUGGGGAAAGAAAGAAGAAAUCCACGUCCUAUCUUUAAACCUUUGUCUUCUAGAGGUGUUUUAAGCAUGGCAGUAGCCCCCAUAGGUGUUUCUAGGACUUGCUGAUGGUAUCCAGAACCAAAAAUAUUCCGGUGUACAAUCUAAUUCAUAUCUUUGGGCAUGGCCAAUGUGAGGAUUUUUUUGCUAACUAUGCAUAUUAUUAGAAUUUUAUUUUUCUAUUUCAGUGGGGAUGUGGGGAAGGGAGGGAAAGAAGAGAAAUUCUUGUAAAAAAUAAAAAUUAUCCUUAGCAAUAGAUAAGUUAGCCAGUGAUGUUGAAUUGAGGGUAUUGAGAGAGUGAGAGAGGUCACGUAUGGAUAGAGUAUUGGAACCAGAAUCGGGAAACCCUGAAUUCAAAUUUAGACUCAUAAACUCACUAGCUGUGUG